rnacentral:sRNA from 1 species
GCCCCAGCUAGGCCCGCGUCGAAAACGGGUCGAAACGCCAGCCCCCCACUGGCUUGCUGGGGCACCUUGCAUCGGGG